rnacentral:snRNA from 1 species
AUCACUUCUCGGCCUUUUGGCUAAGAUCAAGUGUAGUAUCUGUUCUUAUCAGUUUAAAAUAAAACAACUCUACCUUUUUUGGUUCAAACAGAGAAUUACAACAGUGACAACUGAAGUUACUACCAUUUAUUCCUUCCUAUUCACCACAU